UACGUAGGGGGCAAGCGUUGUCCGGAAUCAUUGGGCGUAAAGCGCGCGUAGGCGGCCCGGUAAGUCCGUUGUGAAAGUCAAAGGCUCAACCUUUGAACGCCGAUGGAUACUGCCGGGCUAGAGUCCGGAAGAGGCGAGUGGAAUUCCUGGUGUAGCGGUGGAAUGCGCAGAUAUCAGGAGGAACACCAAUAGCGAAGGCAGCUCGCUGGGACGGUACUGACACUAAGGCGCGAAAGCGUGGGGAGCAAACAGG
rnacentral:rRNA from 1 species